CCCUACGGGGGGCAGCAGUGGGGGAUAUUGCACAAUGGGGGGAACCCUGAUGCAGCGACGCCGCGUGGGUGAAGAAGCGCCUCGGCGCGUAAAGCCCUGUCAGCAGGGAAGAAAAUGACGGUACCUGAAGAAGAAGCCCCGGCUAACUACGUCCCAGCAGCCGCAGUAAUACGUAGGGGGCAAGCGUUAUCCGGAUUUACUGGGUGUAAAGGGGGCGCAGACGGCGAUGCAAGCCAGAAGUGAAAGCCCGGGGCCCAACCCCGGGACUGCUCUUGGAACUGCGUGGCUGGAGUGCAGGAGGGGCG
rnacentral:rRNA from 1 species